AGAGUUUGAUCAUGGCUCAGGAUGAACGCUGGCGGCGUGGAUAAGGCAUGCAAGUCAAACGGCCCCAAUAGCAAUAUUGUGGCAGUGGCAGACGAGGUAGUAAUAAGCAGGUACCAACCCCAAAGUCAGGAAUACCGUAUCGAAAGAUACGUUAAUACUUGAUGGUCUCGCAAGAGUAAAGAUUUAUCGCUUUGGGAUGGGCCUGUUCAGUAUCAGCUAGUUGGUAGGGUAAUGGCCUACCAAGGCUUAGACGCUUAGGGGACCUGAGAGGGUGACCCCCACCGAUGGAACUGAGAAACGGUCCAUACACCUACGGGUGGCUGCAGCCGAGAAUAUUCGACAAUGGGCGAAAGCCUGAUCGAGCGACGCCGCGUGGUUGAUGAAGUCCUUCGGGACGUAAAAACCUUUUGCCAGGGAGAAAGUUUAUUGAUAGUACUUGGCGAAUAAGAGGUUGCUAAACUCGUGCCAGCAGCAGCGGUAAUACGAGUGCCUCAAGCGUUAUCCGGAAUCAUUGGGCGUAAAGGUUGUGUAGGUGGUUGUAUUAGUCUCUUGUUAAAUUCUUCGGCUUAACCGGGGGCAUGCAAGGGAAACGGUACGACUCGAGGAUGCGAGGGGUCUGUGGAAUUCAUAGUGUAGCGGUAAAAUGCGUUGAUAUUAUGGAGAACACCAAAAGCGAAGGCAGCAGACUGGAGCACUCCUGACACUGAAACAAGAAAGCGUGGGUCGCGAAUGGGAUUAGAUACCCUAGUAGUCC
rnacentral:rRNA from 1 species